UACGUAGGGUGCAAGCGUUAAUCGGAAUUACUGGGCGUAAAGCGUGCGCAGGCGGUUUUUGUAAGUCUGUCGUGAAAGCCCCGGGCUCAACCUGGGAAUUGCGAUGGAGACUGCAAGGCUUGAAUCUGGCAGAGGGGGGUAGAAUUCCACGUGUAGCAGUGAAAUGCGUAGAGAUGUGGAGGAACACCGAUGGCGAAGGCAGCCCCCUGGGUCAAGAUUGACGCUCAUGCACGAAAGCGUGGGGAGCAAACAGG
rnacentral:rRNA from 1 species